UACCAGCACCCCGAGUGGUCGGGACGAUUAUUGGGCCUAAAGCAUCCGUAGCCGGUUCUACAAGUCUUCCGUUAAAUCCACCUGCUUAACAGAUGGGCUGCGGAGGAUACUAUAGAGCUAGGAGGCGGGAGAGGCAAGCGGUACUUAGUGGGUAGGGGUAAAAUCCGUUGAUCCAUUGAAGACCACCAGUGGCGAAGGCGGCUUGCCAGAACGCACUCGACGGUGAGGGAUGAAAGCUGGGGGAG
rnacentral:rRNA from 1 species